CGUUCAUGUUUAGCGCAGCACUAUGCUGGGCAUUUGUCUCCCACAUUGGUGACACCCAUCAAGUUUUCUGUAUCAACUGGUUAUUUUUUUUAAUUUAUUUUUUUUCUUUUGGUUGGUUAGGGUGUUUGUGGAGAAUCCGGAGCCCAGGAGCUGCUUUGUUUAAAAUGUUCUUGUUUUGAACAGGAAUAAAAUUAUCCUGAAUCCUGAUUCCGGUGUGAUUGACUUCCUGUUGCCAACCGCUACAUCUGGUGCCGUGACCCGGAUGCCUAGAUCAGCCGCUGCCGAUCACCGAGGUUCUGCUGUGUGCUUGGAACAUUGAAUGCUCAAGUUGGUGGAUUAGUGGGUUCUGUCAGGCUCCAUUUUGGUUGCUAUUCUGCAACUGUAUAUAACUGUUUCUAAGCAAAAAA